GGCGGCGUAGCUCAGUUGGUGAGAGCGCUCGGCUCAUAAUCGAGAGGUCGCUGGUUCGAGUCCAGCCGCCGCUACCA
rnacentral:tRNA from 1 species